AUCCAGCUGACGAAUCUCAAAUUGAGCGGAACGCGCUUCCUGGAU
rfam:Schistosoma mansoni strain Puerto Rico chromosome 1, complete genome